UACGUAGGGUGCAAGCGUUAAUCGGAAUUACUGGGCGUAAAGCGUGCGCAGGCGGUCUUGCAAGACAGGUGUGAAAUCCCCGGGCUUAACCUGGGAACUGCACUUGUGACUGCAUAGCUAGAGUACGGUAGAGGGGGAUGGAAUUCCGCGUGUAGCAGUGAAAUGCGUAGAUAUGCGGAGGAACACCGAUGGCGAAGGCAAUCCCCUGGACCUGUACUGACGCUCAUGCACGAAAGCGUGGGGAGCAAACAGG
rnacentral:rRNA from 1 species